rnacentral:rRNA from 1 species
CAGGGAUUAGCCCAGCACCGAAGCCUGCGUCCGUUUGGGCGUUGGGCAAUGUGGUGUUUAGGUUGAUGCGUUGGGGUGUUGCUUCGUUCCAAGUCCAAUCUUGAAUAUGGCUUUAGCAUGGCCCAGAGAGGGUGAAAGGCCCGUGUGGACGAAGUGAUGCUCUACUGUGUCGACUUUGGAGUCGGGUUGUUUGAGAAUGCAGCCCAAAGUUGGUGGUAAACUCCAUCUAAGGCUAAAUACUGGCACGAGUCCGAUAGCGAACAAGUACCGUGAGGGAAAGUUGAAAAGUACUCUGAAGAGAGAGUUAACAGUGCGUGAAACCGCUUAGAGGCAAACGGGUGUAGUCAAGCUGCAAGCCCAUUGAAAUAGGGGGGCCAGAAUGGCGUGAGUCUGAGCACAUAGAGCUGGUGUCCGGGGUGCGUCCGUAUGGGCGUGUUCGGUCCGCAAGGACUGGAUCUGUGAGGUGACAUUCGUUGCUGCAGGCCCUGGCGUCAGUUGUUCUGCUGGCCCUCUCACUUUCUUUGGGCGUAUGUCACGACCGUCGUCGCUGUCGGUCUGCUCCGUCUAAACCGUGUCGCGUGUAGUCUUGUGCUUCUCGUGGCAUGGAGGCAGGUAGCUUGGUUUUCGCUCUCUCGGGAGUGGAGACUAGUGUUAUUGCUGGGCGGAGUGGUACCUGUAACUGUGCAGUGCGGCGGGGCUGGCGGUGCAUUGGUAUCUGGGCGUGCUAAAACAUGCUGGCUUAGCGUGAGUCUGGUUGCCUGUUGCUGUCUCUGAUGGCCUGGUGACGGCUCUGCUUUGGUUUGGCGUGUGGCUGCGUCUGGGCAUCCUUUGCGUUGAGCCAACAGUCUGUGGCGUAGUGGU